rnacentral:rRNA from 1 species
UACGUAGGGUGCGAGCGUUAAUCGGAAUUACUGGGCGUAAAGCGUGCGCAGGCGGUUUUGUAAGACAGAUGUGAAAUCCCCGGGCUCAACCUGGGACCUGCAUUUGUGACUGCAAGGCUAGAGUACGGCAGAGGGGGAUGGAAUUCCGCGUGUAGCAGUGAAAUGCGUAGAUAUGCGGGGGAACACCGAAGGCGAAGGCAAUCCCCUGGGCCUGUACUGACGCUCAUGCACGAAAGCGUGGGGAGCAAACAGG